GCGGAAGUACCCAAGAGGCCGAAGGGGCUCCCCUGCUAAGGGAGUAGUCGUCUAAAAAGCGAGCGAGAGUUCGAAUCUCUCCUUCCGCG
rnacentral:tRNA from 1 species